rnacentral:tRNA from 1 species
GGGGAUGUGGCUCAGAGGUACAGUGCUCACCUAACAUGGGUGGGGCCCUGGGUUUGAUCCUCAGCACCACA